AACGCACCUUGCACCCUUUGGUAUUCCUUAGGGUAUGUCUGUCUGAGCGUCGUUCAACUCUCAAACCCAUCUUUUGGCCUUAGCGCCUUAGGGUGGCCUUCGGGGUAGUUGCUUAACCCCUGGGCUAGGUUUGGUUCAUGAGCGUUUGUCGGCUUUGGUCGGCACGCUUGAAAUGUUUAGGCAAUGGGUCACUUUGAAUAGUUCCUUUUUUGGACCUUGGCUUGAUAGUAAAAUUGAAUGGCCUUUGGACUGGGAGGGAGCGAAAGGAGAUUUUAUAGCCUUUGCUUUGCUCAACGACUUAGAGAAUCACCUUAUAGGCGAUUCUUGAACCUUUGACCUCAGAUCAGGCAGGACUACCCGCUGAACUUAA
rnacentral:misc_RNA from 1 species